AUUGAACGCUGGCGGCAUGCUUUACACAUGCAAGUCGAACGGCAGCACGGACUUCGGUCUGGUGGCGAGUGGCGAACGGGUGAGUAAUACAUCGGAACGUACCCAGUAAUGGGGGAUAACUAUCCGAAAGGAUAGCUAAUACCGCAUACGUCCUACGGGGGAAAGAGGGGGAUCGCAAGACCUCUUGUUAUUGGAGCGGCCGAUGGCUGAUUAGCUAGUUGGUGGGGUAAAGACCUACCAAGGCAACGAUCAGUAGCGGGUCUUAGAGGACGAUCCGCCACACUGGAACUGAGACACGGUCCAGACUCCUAUGGGAGGCAGCAGUGGGGAAUCUUGGACAAUGGGCGCAAGCCUGAUCCAGCAAUGCCGCGUGCGUGAAGAAGGCCUUCGGGUUGUAAAGCGCUUUUGUCAGGGAGCAAAUCCUUGUGGCUAAUACCCACCGGGGAUGAGAGUACCUGAAGAAUAAGGACCGGCUAACUACGUGCCAGCCGCCGCGGUAA
rnacentral:rRNA from 1 species